rnacentral:rRNA from 1 species
UACGGGGGGGGCAAGCGUUGUUCGGAAUUACUGGGCGUAAAGGGCUCGUAGGUGGCCAACUAAGUCGGACGUGAAAUCCCUCAGCUUAACUGGGGAACUGCGUCCGAUACUGGAUGGCUCGAGUUUGGGAGAGGGAUGCGGAAUUCCAGGUGUAGCGGUGAAAUGCGUAGAGAUCCGGAGGAACACCGACGGCGUAGGCAGCGCCCUGGACGACACCUGACGCUGAGGCACGAAAGCUGGGGGAGCGAACAGG